CAUAGCGGAGGAAAAGAAACUAACAAGGAUUCCCCUAGUAACUGCGAGUGAAGCGGGAAAAGCUCAAAUUUAAAAUCUGGUAGUUUCACUGCCCGAGUUGUAAACUAGAGAAGCGUUAUCCGCGCUGGACCGUGUAUAAGUCUCCUGGAAUGGAGCGUCAUAGAGGGUGAGAAUCCCGUCUUUGACACGGACUACCAGGGCUUUGUGAUGCGCUCUCAAAGAGUCGAGUUGUUUGGGAAUGCAGCUCUAAAUGGGUGGUAAAUUCCAUCUAAAGCUAAAUAUUGGCGAGAGACCGAUAGCGAACAAGUACCGUGAGGGAAAGAUGAAAAGAACUUUGGAAAGAGAGUUAAACAGUACGUGAAAUUGUUGAAAGGGAAACGCUUGAAGUCAGUCGCGUCGGCUAGGAAUCAGCCUUGCUUUUGCUUGGUGUACUUUCUAGUCGACGGGUCAGCAUCAGUUUUGAUCGGUGGAAAAAGGCCAGCGGAAUGUGGCACCUUCGGGUGUGUUAUAGCUGCUGGUUGUAUACAUCGGUUGGGACUGAGGAACUAGCACUCUGUGUUUUAGAUGCUGGCAUAAUGGCUUUAAUCGACCCGUCUUGAAACACGGACCAAGGAGUCUAACAUGCCUGCGAGUGUUUGGGUGGAAAACCCGAGCGCGUAAUGAAAGUGAAAGUUGAGAUCCCUGUCGUGGGGAGCAUCGACGCCCGGACCAGACCUUUUGUGACGGAUCCGCGGUAGAGCAUGUAUGUUGGGACCCGAAAGAUGGUGAACUAUGCCUGAAUAGGGUGAAGCCAGAGGAAACUCUGGUGGAGGCUCGUAGCGAUUCUGACGUGCAAAUCGAUCGUCAAAUUUGGGUAUAGGGGCGAAAGAC
rnacentral:rRNA from 1 species